GCUUCUCCAUCAUUUUGCCAUUCUGUGAGAUAGCUUAUCAGACUGGUGUUGGCUGUUAACUCAGUUGGCGACAACAGUUGGUAGGCUAUCUGACGAUGUGGUGUCUUCGAUCUGAUCAGC
rnacentral:pre_miRNA from 17 species